ensembl:lncRNA
CGGGUGAAAAUAUUGUCAUAAUACAGUUCAAUCAACACAGAUGAUAAAAAUAAAAAAAAAUCAAGAAUGUAAAUAUAUUUGAUGUUAAGUUAGGGAAUAAUAACAACUUCAGCACAUUAUUACUGAGUAUAAAGCUGGAAGUUUGGAGGAAGCAUGGAUCAUGAGCUCUGUGUCAGUUAGCGAAUUAUCUGCGAUGAUAGACAUCAAAAUGACAGAAAGAAAGAGAAGAGGCUAACUACAGGUUUGUUGUUGUUAUUUAUCAUAUCACUAAGGGGUCAGAUUUAUUCCUGAUUGUUUACAGUGACUACACACAUGUCUGCCCUAAAACUCUUUAUUUGGCAGCGUAGUUCACAGUGAUGAGUAUCACUGCAGGUUGAAAGGAUCACAUGCCACCAUUUCACUGCUCUGUGUUUCUUGCAGAGAUCAUUCACGAGGAGCAUCAAAUAUACAACCCACAGACAUUCCAACGCGAGGGAAGUAUGUUUGCUGUGACACGAUCAAAAACAGUGACCAGAGCCAACCAGAUAACUCCAACGACAAUGUAUGUAUACUACAACACACAUCAGCUAAACUCCUUUUAUCACAAUGCUGCUAGUCUGUGACACAUAACAUCAUCAUGAUGAAGAAAUAGUCAUGCUUGUAUAGUAUAAAUUGCAUCUAUAUGCAACCGGUAGAAGCAGCUUUAGUGAUGUCUUUGUUGGAAAGCACUCUAACAAAUGAAACGAAAGGCUAACAAACACCUAAAGAUACACCAACAUACCAUGUUACGUGGCUAACUAAGGAAUCUUUGCUCUGUGCCACUAAAAGCUGAAGAUUGAUUGAUUGUUGGACAUCAUGAUAUUACUGGUUGAAAUUGGUUGGAUCAAGGCUACAGUAUGUAACACCACAUGUCAUUUUGUUCUUACAGGAACAAAACAUGAUAUAUUGAUUCAAAGAUGGAUUUUUUGGUAGUUUUUGGCAUAUUUUAUUAGAUAAGGUCAUGAUAUGAUCAGGGAUGUGAUCUAAAAGGAUCUGAAAAGCAACUUUAAUGUAUCAGGGCUGAGUUCAAAUCUCAUUUCUAAACUCUUGCAGAACUCAACAGGCUGAACUUUUACAACAACGGCAUGGAGCAACGCACUGUAUCGGCUAAUCAGAGAUAUGUAACAGCACAUUCCAGUGGGAAUAUUCUGCUAAACUUCAUUUUAUUGGCACAACAGAGGAUAAAAUGAUUACUGCCAAGAUAAAAUCUUGUCUCUUGAUAUUUUAAAUAAAAUCAGAACAAUGGUUUUGGCAUCUCAUAAGCCUUUUAUUUAUGGCUCUGUUUUACUAAUGUUUCUUUAUAGUUGAAAACUUUUUUACUUUUUCCAGAGUGAGUCUUUAGAUUCAGUACAGAGCUGGAGAGUUGUUAUUAGCAUAGCUUAGCAUAAAGACUGUAAGCAGGGGAAAACAGCUAGCCCGAUUUUGUCAAGUUUAAGAAAAUACAUAAAAUACAAGUACCACCAUCUCAAAAUAUCACCGGCUAACACAUUUAAUUUCCUUUUUAUUUGUACGCAACAACAUAUGUAAAGACAACAAUUAAGGAGAGAAAGUAUCGGAACUAUUUAUUCUCCAACAGCAGUGUAUUCAUCCCCUCAUCACUGUGCUUGGCUGUUGUUAGUCAAGAAAUAGUUCCAGCACAUAACUCACAAAUGCUAGUUUCAACAUUUCUGUUUGUGUACAGAUUAAAUAAAUUAGAUCUAUUUUGUUUAUUAAAGAGCUUUUAAGGUGUUUUUUCUACUACUGUAAUACUCAUUCAUCUGUGGUUAUUUUUUAGUGAAACUCGUAAUGAAUGGAAUGAAUCUUCACCAGGUAGGCUCAUUGUGUCUUUUUUGAAGGUUUAAAACAAGUCAAUUGUAAUGUAACUGAAGAUUUCAUCACUAACUACAGUAUUGGCUUUUAUGCUACAUACAUUUGAGGUAAACUGAUUCAUCAUACCCAGUGGCCGGAAUAAAAUGUUAGCUAACCAUGGAUUUGUUCAAAUGUAUGUGUUGCAUAACAUUCACAUUUCAUAAAUAGAUGACCUUCAUGUCAGGAGGGGAUGGUGGUGGCGGUACAGCACUGCCAAAGGCUGCUGAGCUAGUGAGCGCCAAACAUUACCAGAUCUGCAGCACAACAUUUUAAAAAUUACAAAAUUGAGCCUGAAGAAACAUAAAGCUGCAACAUAAAGAAAUGUAAAGUUUGAACCUAUCCAUGGUUUGCAGAAACAUUUUCUCUCUGGCAAUUGGUUGUCAUCAUCACAGGAGUUUUAAGAAUCAGAAUCAGAACCAGAAUGGCUUUUACUGCCAAGUAAGUUUUCAUAUGCAAGGAAUUUGCUGUGGUCUGUAGGUGCAAAAACAACAAAGCAAUACUAAAAGUAAUUAAAAGAUACUAAAGAUAUAGAGAAGAAAAAUAGAAAAAAAAAACAGACACAGGAUUGGAGAUUUUAAAUAUGUGUAAUAUUGACCAGAUUUAUACAAUAGUGAAAAAAGUUUUGACCUGGGUUGUGCAAGGUCACAGUAGAGAUGGAUAUUGCUCUGUGCAAAAUAAAGUGUCUUGUGACUAAAACCUACAUUAAUGUAAUGUUGAAUCACUUUGUAUCACAGCUGCAACUGACAACCAGUCAGGCUAUGGAAACAUUAGAGAUGGUAAGUUUAAACUAAAUACACAAUAAACACAUGACAUUAACAUUUAUUCUCAAAAAUUCUUUAUUUUUCAUGUAUUUACCAUUAUAUUCAUAUAUUACUACUGCACCCCUGAUACAAUCUGUUUCACUCUGUGUUGCUGCAGCUCACACAGGAAGUCUGGAACACACAUAUGUGUGAGUAUUUAGGCUCCUUUCAUACACAUUCUAAUUGGCAACAGCACCUUUAGGUUCUUUUUGCACAAAUUUGUGUUAGUUCUGUGAUCAGAAGUUGAGAGACUGAGAUUACACUAAUUUCAUUUUCUUUUUAAAAAAUCACCAAACAAAGUGCCUUCGCCCAUAAGUCAAACUGGAUUUGGCCCCAGUAAGCCCCGCAACCCCCCACGGGGGGAUAAAAAGCGGCAACAUCCCGCAACCCUGAAGGAAAAGCGGAAAAGAAAACGAACGAACGAACCAAAUUUCAGUAAUUUCUCGUACAAAUCAACUGAUCAGUCCACAAACAGUCUAGGCGUUUUUAAAAUAGAAAAUUACAGUUUAAAUACUAGUAAGGAUACAUUGUCUGUAGCUCACCAGCUGCUACACUAACUUACAAAUUCAGUACAGUUACAGUAUUUCUAUCUUACACUCCACUACAUUCCUUUAAACUGAAGUUGUUUUAAUUUCACCAGAUAAUGAUCUGUUUAUAAAAAGAACAGAAGGUUUAAAAGUUUAAUAUCUUUGCUUUUGUUCAGAGAUCCACUCCCAAUGUCACUGUAUGAAAAUGAUGAACAGAAUAAAAAGAGGAUAUCUGGUGAGCAUUUUUCCUUGUUCUUCUGAAUAAUACCCUUAAAUAAACUACAUAAAAUGAAUUCAAAGAUUUAUUUAUAUUUUUGCCCUCUGCAUGUUUUUAUAGAUCAUGAUCCCAGUGUCUAUGCAAACAUCUCACCAGAUGGUAAGCUCAAUCAUUGUAUCUGAUUAAAAACACAAGGUUUCUCACAUUAUUAGUCAUGGUGCAGGCUGAGUUGUAGGAAUGUGAAAGAUAAUAACCAACAUUAAAGCUUGACUCAAACUGUUGCAAACAGACGAGGACGACUACGAGAACUCUGAAUUCCUGAAGCAGCAAGAGGAUGAGGGUGAGAAAGCAUUUUUAACAACCAUAUUCACUAAACCUACUGCUUUUUCUGUGGUUUUGUUUCUUAUUCUACUCAAACAGAAGCAUUUUCAUACACCACCUGAGCAGAAGUGAAUCUACGGACUGAGUUAACCCGAGCAUAGCUGCAACUUUUAGUCGAAUCAUCAAUUUGUCAAUUAAAAUUAUUUAGCAACAAUAAAUGUCACCUUUGCAGUACAAUUGUUCUCUGACUUAACUGAUAUUUUAAAACUGUUGUCAAUUAAAUGUAAGACUUUUAGGAGUUUUAGGUGCGUAAAUUCAAAGACUUUUCAGACUUUUCCAGACCUGCAGAUUGUCUGACAGUGAAAUGUUAAGCAUCAUUUUUCUUUUUAACAACAGAGCCUGAUUAUGUGAAUGAAAACGGGGAGCACUGAUGAAAACUCAACUGACAACGGCAGACAACAACCUGUUCUCUUUCUACUUUUUUAACUAACUGGAAAAGUGUGUUUUUUAUUUCUGCUGUGUGAUGUGCAGCUGUACGAAUAAAAUGCUCAUGGAGCCUGAUGGUGAUGGAAACUGAAGCUGCCACCUAGUGGUGAAAAAUCCAUUUAUGAUAGGAUGAAUGCAUCAGGACAGGACACAUGCUGUUGUGUAAUGGCAAAUAAUCAAGCUUACAAAUGAGAUAAAGAAAGGCUUAUAGUGUCAAAUGUAAAGUAUUAAAGAAUUUGUAAACUUUAAAUCUUGAGGAAGAUAAAAGAAUGAAUGAAAAGCAGAUUAUCUGACAGUAAGACUGUUACUGACCUGUGCCAACCUUUUACUGCAACUGUGAAAGAAAUUUACCAAACUGUACCAUUGCAUAAUGUAAAAUACUCUGCCACAAUAUAUAUACUAUAUAUACUGUGUGUAUACUUAAUAUAUCUACAUGUUAAUGUUUUGCAUUCGAAACGCUACUUUAAGCGACUAUAGAUAUUUUAAUAUUAAUGUGUCAAAUGAUUUUUGUUGUUAUUUUCACUUUUAUUUCUAAUGGAAAAGAAAAAAAGAAUACAAUUGAAAUAUUGUUGAGGCUUUCCAAAUGAAUACAGUCAAGAACAUGUGUUCAACUCGCUGUUUAUUCGACAUCCAAAUUCCCUGUACAACCUUAACGUACCUGACUGUAGUGACCCAAGGAUGUUAUUACAGUCUGUGUGAAAAACGAAAUUAAAAACACACAAAAAAACAAAGACUGGAAUAAAAAAGGAAGCGAAAAAAUGGGGACUGUUUUUUUGUGGACUAUGGGAGGAAUGGUUAUGUUAAGCCAGGCAGUCACAGAGGACCUACAUGGGGGGGUUCUGGAUGGCGUCCUUGGGUCAGUAAAGUCAGGUGCGCUGGGCUAAUGUGUUAUGAAACCACUGUAUUGUGCAUUGCUGUUUGAUUCAGACAAGAAGAAUCAGGCAGAGAAAAGACUUUACACGGAGACGAUUUUAUUAUCCUGAACAGAUCAGUCUAAAGCCAAGAAGAGAAUAUGGGUGACCACAGCCGAUGACGAUAGUUAGUGUGGACAGACAGAAAAUAUAACGUCUAGGUACACACGCACACAUCACAUGAACAGU